GUCCAAAACAUACAGCAUAUAUCAGAUGAUAGGGAAUUUAUUGGAGAUGAAGUUGAGAGGAUCACAGAGAACUGGAACGUCCAAAGGCAAGUGUUUUAUCAGCAAACAGGACUGAAUCAACGUCAUGCUCAGCAAACACAAAAAACAUGUACAACACGAUGAUGAUUUUGGUGAUGAAUUUAGUCAUCAACUGGAACUGCAACUAAUUGAAGAAGAACAGCUACAACAAAAACAAGAGGAUCAUGAAUUGGAGCUGUAACUUUCUGUAAAACAACCCUAAUAAUGUAGCAACAAAAUGGUGAGGAAUUAUGCUACAAAAACCAGGACAAAUAAGAAUCCC
rnacentral:lncRNA from 1 species